UAACUGGUCCUGACUAGUUCAUUUGCCU
rnacentral:piRNA from 1 species